GACGCACGCUGGCGGCGUGCUUAACACAUGCAAGUCGAACGAAGUGGCGAACGGGUGAGUAAUACGUGGGUAACCUGCCCUCCUUUUUGGGAUAAGCCUUGGAAACGGGGUCUAAUACCGAAUAAAGGGGGAUGGGCUCGCGGCCUAUCAGCUUGUGGGGGGGGUGAGGGCCUACCGAGGCGGUGCCGGGUAGCGGGCCUGAGAGGGUGCACUGGCACGUUGGGACGGAUAAAAGGCCAAGGGUCGUAAGGGGGGGAGAAGUGGGGGAGAGUGGCCAAUGGGCGAUGGCCUGAUGCAGCGUCGCCGAGUGGGGUAUGAGGGCUGUAGGGUUGUAAACGUCUGUCGCUAGCGAACGGGUAGGUGGAGAAGAAGCGCCGGCUAACUACGUGCCAGCAGCCGCGGUAAUAC
rnacentral:rRNA from 1 species